rnacentral:rRNA from 1 species
GAUGAACGCUGGCGGCGUGCCUAAUACAUGCAAGUCGAGCGAACGGACGAGAAGCUUGCUUCUCUGAUGUUAGCGGCGGGCGGGUGAGUAACACGUGGAUAACCUACCUAUAAGACUGGGAUAACUUCGGGAAACCGGAGCUAAUACCGGAUAAUAUUUUGAACCGCAUGGUUCAAAAGUGAAAGACGGUCUUGCUGUCACUUAUAGAUGGAUCCGCGCUGCAUUAGCUAGUUGGUAAGGUAACGGCUUACCAAGGCAACGAUGCAUAGCCGACCUGAGAGGGUGAUCGGCCACACUGGAACUGAGACACGGUCCAGACUCCUACGGGAGGCAGCAGUAGGGAAUCUUCCGCAAUGGGCGAAAGCCUGACGGAGCAACGCCGCGUGAGUGAUGAAGGUCUUCGGAUCGUAAAACUCUGUUAUUAGGGAAGAACAUAUGUGUAAGUAACUGUGCACAUCUUGACGGUACCUAAUCAGAAAGCCACGGCUAACUACGUGCCAGCAGCCGCGGUAAUACGUAGGUGGCAAGCGUUAUCCGGAAUUAUUGGGCGUAAAGCGCGCGUAGGCGGUUUUUUAAGUCUGAUGUGAAAGCCCACGGCUCAACCGUGGAGGGUCAUUGGAAACUGGAAAACUUGAGUGCAGAAGAGGAAAGUGGAAUUCCAUGUGUAGCGGUGAAAUGCGCAGAGAUAUGGAGGAACACCAGUGGCGAAGGCGACUUUCUGGUCUGUAACUGACGCUGAUGUGCGAAAGCGUGGGGAUCAAACAGGAUUAGAUACCCUGGUAGUCCACGCCGUAAACGAUGAGUGCUAAGUGUUAGGGGGUUUCCGCCCCUUAGUGCUGCAGCUAACGCAUUAAGCACUCCGCCUGGGGAGUACGACCGCAAGGUUGAAACUCAAAGGAAUUGACGGGGACCCGCACAAGCGGUGGAGCAUGUGGUUUAAUUCGAAGCAACGCGAAGAACCUUACCAAAUCUUGACAUCCUUUGACAACUCUAGAGAUAGAGCCUUCCCCUUCGGGGGACAAAGUGACAGGUGGUGCAUGGUUGUCGUCAGCUCGUGUCGUGAGAUGUUGGGUUAAGUCCCGCAACGAGCGCAACCCUUAAGCUUAGUUGCCAUCAUUAAGUUGGGCACUCUAAGUUGACUGCCGGUGACAAACCGGAGGAAGGUGGGGAUGACGUCAAAUCAUCAUGCCCCUUAUGAUUUGGGCUACACACGUGCUACAAUGGACAAUACAAAGGGCAGCGAAACCGCGAGGUCAAGCAAAUCCCAUAAAGUUGUUCUCAGUUCGGAUUGUAGUCUGCAACUCGGCUACAUGAAGCUGGAAUCGCUAGUAAUCGUAGAUCAGCAUGCUACGGUGAAUACGUUCCCGGGUCU